UUAUUGGAGACUUGAAUGAAAGGUUGAACAUAUAAUUUUUGUUUUUAGGUUAUUCAUUAAUUUUUAUUUUACGUAAGAAUACGUAAAUAUUUUGGAGGGACGAUAAGACCCUAAAAGCUUUACUUUUAAAAGAUUGUUUUUUAUUGUUUUAAUCUUAACUGUUUUUAAAAAGUUUGGCUGGGGCAGCAUUUUUUGUAAACAAAAAAAUUUUUUACAUGUAGGGUUUAAGGUCCUUUAUAUAAGGAUAGAUUGUGUAAGUUACUUUAGGGAUAACAGCGCGAUAAUGAUGGGGAGACCUUAUUUAUAUUAUUGAUUGUGACCUCGAUGUUGAAUUAAUAUAUCUUUAUAAAGCAGAAAUUAUUUUAGAGAGUUUGUUCAACUUUUAAAUUAUUACAUGAUUUG
rnacentral:rRNA from 1 species